rnacentral:rRNA from 1 species
CCCGCUGAACUUAAGCAUAUCACUAAGCGGAGGAAAAGAAAUUAACUAAGAUUGCCUCAGUAACGGCGAGUGAAGCGGCAAGAGCCCAAAAUGUAAAUCUUCACGCUGCGCGUGACGAAUUGUAAUCUAAAGAUGGUUCUCUCACCGGGUGGUGGCGCAGAAGUGCCUUAGAACGGGCCGCCAGAGAGGGUGACAGCCCCGUAUGUGGUGCCACUACCUAACGAGAGGGUUAUCGAAGAGUCGGGUUGUUUUGUAUUGCAGCCCUAAGUGGGAGAUAAACUUCUUCUAAGGCUAAAUAUCUAUGGGAAACCGAUAGCGAACAAGUACUGUGAAGGAAAGAUGAAAAGAACUUUGAAAAGAGAGUCAAAAGACUUGAAAUCGUUGAGAAGGAAGCGGUAGAAGUUUAUUCUUCGGCGGAGGACGGUGGCGGCUGCCUAACCAUUGCUGGGCGUCAGAUCUGCAAAGGCUGUGUCUAGCACUUGGGGAAGCGGCCGCUUUGCCCUCCGUCGUGAGGCGAGAUGGGGUCGUGUUCCCGCAGAGGCUUCUCCAGCCUGGCCUGAUUCGUCAGGCAGCUGGAGUCUGCUGGCGGGCGCGCGGCCCGAGGGUGCUUCGUGCGAUCUUGCCAAAAUGGCUUUUACCGGCCCGUCUUGAAACACGG